GACGAACGCUGGCGGCGUGCUUAACACAUGCAAGUCGAACGGGUCUGCCCUGUUUUUUGCGGGGUGGGUCAGUGGCGAACGGGUGAGUAACACGUGAGUAACCUGCCCCUCACUUCUGGAUAACCGCUUGAAAGGGUGGCUAAUACGGGGUGUUCUGGCUGUGCCGCAUGGUGUGGCUGGGAAAGAUUCACUUUUGUGGUGUUUUGGUGGGGGAUGGGCUCGCGGCCUAUCAGCUUGUUGGUGGGGUGAUGGCCUGCCAAGGCUUUGACGGGUAGCCGGCCUGAGAGGGUGGGCGGUCACACUGGGACUGAGAUACGGCCCAGACUCCGGCGGGAGGCAGCAGUGGGGGGUAGUGCACAAUGGGCGGAAGCCUGAUGCAGCGACGUCGCGUGAGGGAUGGAGGCCUUCGGGUUGUGAACCUCUUUCGCCGGUGAAGAAGGUCCUGCUCUUUGUGGUGGGGUUGACGGUAGCCGGGUUAUGAAGCGCCGGCUAACUACGUG
rnacentral:rRNA from 1 species